AGCGAACGCUGGCGGCAGGCUUAACACAUGCAAGUCGAGCGGGCAUCCUUGUGGUGUCAGCGGCAGACGGGUGAGUAACGCGUGGGAACGUGCCCUUCGGUUCGGAAUAACUCAGGGAAACUUGAGCUAAUACCGGAUACGUGCGAGAGCAGAAAGGUUUAUCUGCCGAAGGAUCGGCCCGCGUCUGAUUAGCUAGUUGGUGAGGUUACGGCUCACCAAGGCGACGAUCAGUAGCUGGCCUGAGAGGAUGAUCAGCCACACUGGGACUGAGACACGGCCCAGACUCAUACGGGAGGCAGCAGUGGGGAAUAUUGGACAAUGGGGGCAACCCUGAUCCAGCCAUGCCGCGUGAGUGAUGACGGCCUUAGGGUUGUAAAGCUCUUUUCUCCGGGACGAUAAUGACGGUACCGGAGGAAUAAGCCCCGGCUAACUUCGUG
rnacentral:rRNA from 1 species